rnacentral:rRNA from 1 species
GACGAACGCUGGCGGCGUGCUUAACACAUGCAAGUCGAACGGAAAGGCCCUGCUUUUGUGGGGUGCUCGAGUGGCGAACGGGUGAGUAACACGUGAGUAACCUGCCCUUGACUUUGGGAUAACUUCAGGAAACUGGGGCUAAUACCGGAUAGGAGCUCCUGCUGCAUGGUGGGGGUUGGAAAGUUUCGGCGGUUGGGGAUGGACGCGCGGCUUAUCAGCUUGUUGGUGGGGUAGUGGCUUACCAAGGCUUUGACGGGUAGCCGGCCUGAGAGGGUGACCGGCCACAUUGGGACUGCGAUACGGCGCAGACUCCUACGGGAGGCAGCAGUGGGGAAUAUUACACAAUGGGCGGAAGCCUGAUGCAGCAACGCCGCGUGCGGGAUGACGGGCUUCGGGUUGUAAACCGCUUUCGCCUGUGACGAAGCGUGAGUGACGGUAAUGGGUAAAGAAGCACCGGCUAACUACGUG